UGAGACCGGCGCACGGGUGCGUAACGCGUAUGCAAUCUACCUUGUACAGAGGAAUAGCCCAGAGAAAUUUGGAUUAAUGCCUCAUAGUAUAUUGGGUCGGCAUCGACCUAUUAUUAAAGAUUUAUCGGUACAAGAUGAGCAUGCGUCCCAUUAGUUAGUUGGUAAGGUAACGGCUUACCAAGACGAUGAUGGGUAGGGGUCCUGAGAGGGAGAUCCCCCACACUGGUACUGAGACACGGACCAGACUCCUACGGGAGGCAGCAGUGAGGAAUAUUGGGCAAUGGGCGCAAGCCUGACCCAGCCAUGCCGCGUGCAGGAAGACGGUCCUAUGGAUUGUAAACUGCUUUUAUACGGGAAGAAACACCCCCUCGUGAGGGGGCUUGACGGUACCGUAAGAAUAAGGAUCGGCUAACUCCGUGCCAGCAGCCGCGGUAAUACGGAGGAUCCAAGCGUUAUCCGGAAUCAUUGGGUUUAAAGGGUCCGUAGGCGGCCUUAUAAGUCAGUGGUGAAAUCUCCUAGCUCAACUAGGAA
rnacentral:rRNA from 1 species